AGGGCGCAGCCGACCUCGACGCCGCGUGGGGAUGAAGGUCUUCGGAUUGUAAACCUCUUUCAGUAGGGAAGAAGCGAAGUGACGGUACCUAAAGAAGAAGCACCGGCUAACUAUGUGCCAGCAGCCGCGGUAAUACAUAGGGUGCAAGCGUUGUCCGGAAUUAUUGGGCGUAAAGAGCUCGUAGGUCGUUUGUCGCGUCGAUUGUGAAAAUCUGAGGCUCAACCUCAGACCUGCAGUCGAUACGGGCAAACUAGAGUGUGGUAGGGGAGACUGGAAUUCCUGGUGUAGCGGUGGAAUGCGCAGAUAUCAGGAGGAACACCAAUGGCGAAGGCAGGUCUCUGGGCCAUAACUGACACUGAGGAGCGAAAGUGCGGGGAGCGAACAGGAUUAGAUACCCUGGUAGUCCGCACCGUAAACGGUGGGCACUAGUUGUGGGAACCUUCCACGGUUUCCGCGACGCAGCAAACGCAUUAAGUGCCCCGCCUGGGGAGUACGAUCGCAAGAUUAAAACUCAAAGGAAUUGACGGGGCCCCGCACAAGCAGCGGAGCAUGCGGCUUAAUUCGACGCAACGCGAAGAACCUUACCAAGGCUUGACAUAUAGCGAAAAGUGGCAGAGAUGUCAUGUCCGCAAGGGCGCUAUACAGGUGGUGCAUGGUUGUCG
rnacentral:rRNA from 1 species